GCUACUGUAUAAAUCAUUCUAUAUUUUAAAUUGGAGCUAUAAACUCAAAAUAUAAAAUAUUGCUCACAUAUAGGACAUGCACAUCGGUCAGGCAUAACUUAGAGAACAAUACAGGGUUCAAGCUUUUGCAGGCCCAAAUGGUUCAUUGGGUUAGGUUCGGAUCAAGUCGUAGGGUUGGAAAUCCAAAAUUGUCCAAAAUUCAAACGGUCGGAUCGAAUCAGGUCGGAAUGUAGUAAAUGCAGACUCGAUCUAAAAAAUGAAAUGGAUCCAAUUUUAGAACCCUCCCUAAUCCUUUGAAUUCUCUAAAAUAGGUUGGAUUAUGUCUAAGUGGAUCGGGUCAUAAGUCAAUCCGACUCAUUUGCAGCUUUACAUUUAUAUGAGGUCCAUAUCCCGAUCCGAAUCUAUUUUUUUUCCACUAUUCCAAUCAACAAGGAAACAACUUAAUUUGUCAAGUUAUAUAGAGCAUAAUUUAUUUUUGCAUGCAUUCAUGUAUGAACACACAAACAUAUGUGUGUGGGUGUGUAUAUCAUGAACCUUCAUGUGUGCUACAUGUGCAUAUAUUAGUAGAUAAAUAAAUUAAAGACCCUUUUUGAUAUUUUAUGUGCUGAUAAAUGAAAUUAUAUCUUGGCAAGCGUUUGCGUGUGUGUUUGUUCAUUUUAUUCAUAUGGCAUUUUUUGUCUGCUUUGUUCCCCUCCCCUCCAAAAAGACAAAAAAAAAAAAAGAAAAAAAAAAGCAAGAUUUGCAUGGUUUAAAAUGGGUAAAUGCACACGAAAUUCCAAAUUCCAACCAUCAG
rnacentral:lncRNA from 1 species